rnacentral:rRNA from 1 species
UGGGGAAUUUUGGACAAUGGGCGCAAGCCUGAUCCAGCCAUGCCGCGUGCAGGAUGAAGGCCCUCGGGUUGUAAACUGCUUUUGUACGGAACGAAAAGCCUCUUUCUAAUAAAGAGGGGUGAUGACGGUACCGUAAGAAUAAGCACCGGCUAACUACGUGCCAGCAGCCGCGGUAAUACGUAGGGUGCGAGCGUUAAUCGGAAUUACUGGGCGUAAAGCGUGCGCAGGCGGUCUUGCAAGACCGUGGUGAAAUCCCCGGGCUCAACCUGGGAACUGCCAUUGUGACUGCAAGGCUGGAGUACGGCAGAGGGGGAUGGAAUUCCGCGUGUAGCAGUGAAAUGCGUAGAUAUGCGGAGGAACACCGAUGGCGAAGGCAGUCCCCUGGGCCUGUACUGACGCUCAUGCACGAAAGCGUGGGGAG